rnacentral:rRNA from 1 species
GGUUUGAUCAUGGGCUCAGGACGAACGCUGGCGGCGUGCUUAAUGCAUGCAAGUCGAACGAGACCUUCCCUCUGGGUAACCAAAGGGAAACGUCUAGUGGCGAACGGGUGAGUAACACGUGAGAAACCUGCCCCGAAGACCGGGAUAGCCCGGGGAAACCCGGAUUAAUACCGGAUACCCUUGAAGAUCCGCAUGGUUCACCAAGGAAAUGGAUUCCGCUUCGGGAUGGUCUCGCGCCCUAUCAGCUUGUUGGUGAGGUAACGGCCCACCAAGGCGAAGACGGGUAGCUGGUCUGAGAGGACGAUCAGCCACACUGGGACUGAGACACGGCCCAGACUCCUACGGGAGGCAGCAGCAGGGAAUAUUGCACAAUGGGCGCAAGCCUGAUGCAGCGACGCCGCGUGAGGGAUGAAGGCUUUCGAGUUGUAAACCUCUUUCAGUAGGGACGAAGCGAAAGUGACGGUACCUACAGAAGAAGCCCCGGCCAACUACGUGCCAGCAGCCGCGGUAAUACGUAGGGGGCGAGCGUUGUCCGGAUUUAUUGGGCGUAAAGAGCUCGUAGGCGGCUUAGAAAGUCGGCCGUGAAAGCCCGAGGCUCAACCUCGGGAUGNCCGGUCGAAACUUCUAUGGNUAGGGUCCGGUUANAGGAGAGUGGAAUUUCCCGGUGUAGCGGUGGGAUGGCCCAGAUAUUCGGGAAGGAACACCCAGUUAGCGAAGGCGG